AUCCAGCUGACGAGUCCCAAAUAGGACGAGACAUGCUUCCUGGAU
rnacentral:hammerhead_ribozyme from 1 species